AUCCAUAGGUUAAUGAGGCGAACCGGGGGAACUGAAACAUCUAAGUACCCCGAGGAAAAGAAAUCAACCGAGAUUCCCCCAGUAGCGGCGAGCGAACGGGGAGCAGCCCAGAGCCUGAAUCAGUGUGUGUGUUAGUGGAAGCGUCUGGAAAGGCGUGCGAUACAGGGUGACAGCCCCGUACACAAAAAUGCACAUACUGUGAGCUCGAUGAGUAGGGCGGGACACGUGGUAUCCUGUCUGAAUAUGGGGGGACCAUCCU
rnacentral:rRNA from 1 species